GACGAACGCUGGCGGCGUGCCUAAUACAUGCAAGUCGAACGCAGUGGGGACGGGUGAGUAACACGUGGGUAACCUCCCAUCAGAGGGGAUAACACUUGGAAACAGGUGCUAAACCGAUACUGAUGGAUGAACCCGCUGUGCAUUAGCUAGUUGUUGAGGUAACGGCUCACCAAGGCCACGAUGCAUAGCUGACCUGAGAGGUUGAUCGGCCACACUGGUACUGAGCCACUGCCCAGACUCCUACGGGAGGCAGCAGUGGGGAAUAUUGCACAAUGGGCGCAAGCCUGAUUCAGCCAUGCCGCGUGUAUGAAGAAGGCCUUCGGGUGGUAAAGUACUUUCAGCGGGGAGGCGUUACCCGCAGAAGAAGCACCGGCUAACUCCGUGCCAGCAGCCGCGGUAAUAC
rnacentral:rRNA from 1 species